AAGCAUUCCUGUACCCAUAUUUUCUUUGUUUCCCUCCUUACCGUCUUCGUUCUUAUUCAAUUAUUAUCUUCAUCAGGCUUUGACAUUGAGGCCCAAUGCAUUGAGCGGGAAUUGUAGCCAUAACAAUAGAGCAAAUGAGUUUAGCAGAUGAGGUCCCAUCAUCAGCCUUUGUAUUCCAUUAUAUAGUAGACCCCCCAGGGGGUGGCUGCAAGCUAGGAAGAAACUAGAAGCCAAGAGAGAGUGAUUAAAAGAAAAAAAGAGAGGAGAGAAGAAAAGGCAGGAGAGGAAGAGAUAAAGCCUAAAAGAGAGAGAGGAAAAUAGCAAGGAAGCAGCCACUACCAAAACAAAAAAGACAAGGAAGGAAGACGUUCAAGAAAGGAGAAAGGAGAAGGUAUGGAAUAUGUACUUUCUUACUUACCUUGUUUUACACGUGAUGGUCUUACUUUGCCGGUCAACAUGAUGUACUCACAAUUAGGGAUUCUGGGGUCUUAUAUAUUUUGGAUCUGGUAGUGCUGAUAUGGCCCUCGCUUGUUAUUUUGAUUUGGCAUGCAUGGUCAUAGUUUCUUUUCGGCAUGGAUGUAUAAAAGGAUGUGCCUUCUUCCUGCAAACCUACUUAGCUUAUUCGCCUUUGGUAUGAAAAUGUUUCUUGGUUUUUUUUUUAGGUUACGUUGCCUUCUACUUCCCUUUUCUUUUUGUUUUUAUGGAAGAAUCCUUUCUUUCAAACAUGGAAAAUGGGUAUUAUGUAUGGUGGCACGUGCUGUAACAUAUAUAGUCACAUUCUCUUGGAUUAUAGGGAUAACAGAAAUAAAUUUCUUCUGCCCCACAUUGUUAAAGUAUGGUGGCACGUUCUGUAACAAAUAUCCUUAAGUAUUGGAAAAUUAUAAUAACUUUUAUUUUGA
rnacentral:lncRNA from 1 species